AUGAGAGAUUCGGUCACAUGGAAGAUUUCCAACCUUCUGAUUAAGGAAAGGCGAAGAACAGCGAUACAAGGAGUCUUCUGGCGGUUACAGGGGUGUCACGGUCAAAUUGGAGUGAUUUCGGUGAGGUUCCGGCGGACAGAAGGAGAUCGGAGGAGGUCGGAUUUCCGGCGAAAGAAAAUUUCCGGACAGGGAGCUCGAUUUUCCGGCGAGAAGAAGCAAAGAACUUGUGGCCAUGGUGGAAGAAAUACUUGGGAGAGACAAGAGGAGAACACAUCUAUCACGAAGCUUUGGAGUUUAGAUUUAGAAAUGUUUUGA